rnacentral:lncRNA from 1 species
CCUUAUAAAACGAGCUCUAAAAGAUCUAGCCUCUGACUUGUCCGUCUAUUAUCGCUUAACAUGGGCUGGAUAUCCCCAAAUCUUGAGAUAUCCAAGAGUUGGCUUCUUAUCAUGCUAUAACUUAUAUGAUGUGGUAGAAACAGAUUUAGAGAGAACUCGAUUCAAAAGAUGAAUUAUAGAAAGUAAUGCAUAUCCCUAGAGAA